rnacentral:rRNA from 1 species
CAGUAGCCGCGGUAAUACGAAGGGUGCAAGCGUUACUCGGAAUUACUGGGCGUAAAGCGUGCGUAGGUGGUGGUUUAAGUCCGUUGUGAAAGCCCUGGGCUCAACCUGGGAAUUGCAGUGGAUACUGGGUCACUAGAGUGUGGUAGAGGAUAGUGGAAUUUCCGGUGUAGCAGUGAAAUGCGUAGAGAUCGGGAGGAACAUCAGUGGCGAAGGCGGCCAUCUGGGACAACACUGACGCUGAGGCACGAAAGCGUGGGGAGCAAACAGGAUUAGAUACCCGAGUAGUCCCUGUCUCUUAUAA